rnacentral:rRNA from 1 species
CUACGGAGGGUGCAAGCGUUACUCGGAAUCACUGGGCGUAAAGCGCGCGCAGGCGGGCUGAUAAGUUGGAUGUGAAAGCCUACGGCUCAACCGUAGAACUGCAUCCAAAACUGUCAGUCUAGAGUGUGGGAGAGGAAGAUGGAAUUAGUUGUGUAGGGGUAAAAUCCGUAGAGAUAACUAGGAAUACCAAAAGCGAAGGCAAUCUUCUGGGACACUACUGACGCUGAGGCGCGAAGGCGUGGGGAGCAAACAGGAUUAGAAACCCCAGUAGUCC